rnacentral:rRNA from 1 species
UGGGGAAUAUUGCACAAUGGGCGCAAGCCUGAUGCAGCAACGCCGCGUGAGGGACGACGGCCUUCGGGUUGUAAACCUCUUUUAGUAGGGAAGAAGCGAAAGUGACGGUACCUGCAGAAAAAGCACCGGCUAACUACGUGCCAGCAGCCGCGGUAAUACGUAGGGUGCGAGCGUUGUCCGGAAUUAUUGGGCGUAAAGAGCUCGUAGGCGGUCUGUCGCGUCUGCUGUGAAAACCCGAGGCUCAACCUCGGGCCUGCAGUGGGUACGGGCAGACUAGAGUGCGGUAGGGGAGAAUGGAAUUCCUGGUGUAGCGGUGGAAUGCGCAGAUAUCAGGAGGAACACCGAUGGCGAAGGCAGUUCUCUGGGCCGUAACUGACGCUGAGGAGCGAAAGCGUGGGGAGCGAACAGGAUUAGAUACCCUGAUAGUCCACGCCGUAAACGUUGGGCGCUAGAUGUGGGGACCAUUCCACGGUUUCCGUGUCGCAGCUAACGCAUUAAGCGCCCCGCCUUGGGGAGUACGGCCGCAAGGCUAAAACUC